GGGAAAAUUAAAGGCAACGUGUAACUUUACUACCAGUGAAACGCCCGAAACGUCGCAAUAAUCCUGAUUGAUCUGACUGUUGUAUUUUGGAUAAAAAUCAUUUUAGAUCAGAUGACUGCUGCAUGAAAUCUUUGCAUGGUUGGAUGGUUAGAAUGCCAGGCAGAGACGUUGGAGUAGAAGACAAGAUGAUGUUUCAACUCGACUGUGAUUUGAUUUGGGGUCGUAGUUCAGGUAUAAUUUGAACCUUUGAGAUGCUAAACAGCUGCUCCAAGUCGCAAAAAUCGCCACAUUUACGCUUUGGAAUGAGCAGAUUGUGGUCUUUCAUUUCGUCCCAAUCAACUCGCACAGCAACCAGAGACUUGAGCAGUUUAUUCUGAGUUACAAUAUAAGGACAUUAAUUCCCAUUUACAGUUCAUCGUAGAGGUAUUUGAAGGAAAGCAAGUUUGGUUUUCCUUCCACUGUGCAGUCGUACCACUUUGUGCUGGUUUAUAGCAUAAAUUCCCAAUUAAACAUUGUUUUUUCAUGGUUCCAA